UACGGGGGGUGCGAGCGUUGUCCGGAAUCACUGGGCGUAAAGGGCGCGUAGGUGGCUUUGUAAGUUUGCGGUGAAAGCCCGGGGCUCAACCCCGGGUCUGCCGUGGAUACUGCAGGGCUUGAGUACUGUAGAGGCAGGUGGAAUUUCCAGUGUAGCGGUGAAAUGCGUAGAUAUUGGAAGGAACAUCAGUGGCGAAGGCGACUUUCUGGACAGAUACUGACACUGAGGCACGAAAGCGUGGGGAGCAAACAGG
rnacentral:rRNA from 1 species